AUGGGACGGCGGCGGCUGAGCGCGGCACCGGCGCUCGAGAAGACAGCGGACCAUGGAGGCGCGGCUUGUGAAGAACGGAUAGGGCAGGUGGUCGAGAAGAUGAAAAAGGAGGGAAUAGAUAUGAGCCAAAGGAGGGUUGGCGCUUUUCAACGGAGGAUUUGCCCAAAGUGCAAAGGGGGUUCAACUAAGGACCGAAGCCUCAGCGUCUUCAUCCGGGAAAAUGGUACACAUGGAAACUGGACUUGUUUUAGAGCGAGUUGUGGAUGGAAAGGCUAUACCCAGAAAACUCGUGAAGAGGACCUGAGUCUCGAGCCUCUUUGUGAUGAGCUCGUGACAUACUUCUCGGAAAGAAUGAUAUCGGCAAAAACACUUCGAAGGAACAAUGUAUCACAACGUAAAAGGAAUGACAAGAUUGUAAUUGCUUUCACCUAUAGACGUGAUGAAGUCCUUGUUGGCUGCAAAUACAGGGAGGUCUCUAAGAGAUUUUCACAGGAGGUGAACACUGAGAAAAUUUUGUAUGGUCUGGAUGAUAUAAAGCAAGCACGCGAUGUUAUCAUUGUUGAGGGUGAAAUUGAUAAACUUUCCAUGGAGGAGGCUGGCUAUCGUAAUUGUGUGAGUGUGCCACAUGGUGCACCAGCUAAAGUAUCAAAGAAACCCCCGGACAAAAAUCAUGAUAAGAAGUAUUUAUAUCUGUGGAACUGCAAAGAGUAUCUUGACCCGGCAUCUAGGAUAAUACUGGCAACGGAUGCUGAUCCUCCAGGGCAGGCUCUUGCUGAGGAACUUGCUCGACGUCUUGGUAAAGAAAGGUGUUGGAGGGUCAAAUGGCCAAAGAAGAAUGAGACAGAAUUUUACAAAGAUGCUAACGAGGUACUUGUGUCCUUAGGACCACAAGCAUUGAAAGAGGUUAUACAAGGUGCUGAACUGUUUAGGAUUUUAAACUCUUGA
rnacentral:rRNA from 1 species